AGUGAAGCGGUAAAAGCUCAAAUUUGAAAUCUGGUACUUUCAGUGCCCGAGUUGUAAUUUGUAGAAUUUGUCUUUGAUUAGGUCCUUGUCUAUGUUCCUUGGAACAGGACGUCAUAGAGGGUGAGAAUCCCGUUUGGCGAGGAUACCUUUUCUCUGUAAGACUUUUUCGAAGAGUCGAGUUGUUUGGGAAUGCAGCUCAAAGUGGGUGGUAAAUUCCAUCUAAAGCUAAAUAUUGGCGAGAGACCGAUAGCGAACAAGUACAGUGAUGGAAAGAUGAAAAGAACUUUGAAAAGAGAGUGAAAAAGUACGUGAAAUUGUUGAAAGGGAAGGGCAUUUGAUCAGACAUGGUGUUUUUUGCAUGCACUCGCCUCUCGUGGGCUUGGGCCUCUCAAAAAUUUCACUGGGCCAACAUCAAUUCUGGCAGCAGGAUAAAUCAUUAAGAAUGUAGCUACUCUGUAGUGUUAUAGCUUUUUGGAAUACUGUUAGCCGGGAUUGAGGACUGCGCUUCGGCAAGGAUGUUGGCAUAAUGGUUAAAUGCCGCCCGUCUUG
rnacentral:rRNA from 1 species